GCUUGCUAUAAUUGUCAGCUAAGUGGCGCACGGGUGAGUAAUGUAUAGAUAACCUGCCCUUAAGAAAGGAAUAACAGUUGGAAACGACUGCUAAUGCCCUAUAUGCCUUUAAUACAUAAGUAUGCAAGGGAAACGCUUUAGUGCUUAAGGAUGGGUCUGUACGGUAUCAGCUUGUUGGUGAGGUAAUGGCUCACCAAGGCUAUGACGCCUAACUGGUUUGGGAGGAUGAUCAGUCACACUGGAACUGAGACACGGUCCAGACUCCUACGGGAGGCAGCAGUGGGGAAUAUUGCACAAUGGACGAAAGUCUGAUGCAGCAACGCCGCGUGGAGGAUGACACAUUUCGGUGCGUAAACUCCUUUUAUAUAGGAAGAUAAUGACGGUACUAUAUGAAUAAGCACCGGCUAACUCCGUGCCAGCAGCCGCGGUAAUACGGAGGGUGCAAGCGUUACUCGGAAUCACUGGGCGUAAAGAGCGUGUAGGCGGGUAUAUAAGUCAGAAGUGAAAUCCAAUAGCUCAACUAUUGAACUGCUUUUGAAACUGUAUACCUAGAAUGUGGGAGAGGUAGAUGGAAUUUCUGGUGUAGGGGUAAAAUCCGUAGAGAUCAGAAGGAAUACCGAUUGCGAAGGCGAUCUACUGGAACAUUAUUGACGCUGAGACGCGAAAGCGUGGGGAGCAAACAGGAUUAGAUACCCUGGUAGUCCACGCCCUAAACGAUGUACACUAGUUGUUGUGAGGCUCGACCUUGCAGUAAUGCAGUUAACACAUUAAGUGUACCGCCUGGGGAGUACGGUCGCAAGA
rnacentral:rRNA from 1 species